CGAACGCUGGCGGCAGGUCUUAGGCAUGCAAGUCGAACGGAUGACAAGGGAGCUUGCUCCUUGAAGUCAGUGGCGCACGAGUGAGUAACGCGUGGGAAACUGCCCUUCACUGGGGAAUAACGUUUGGAAACGAACGCUAAUACCGCAUACGCCCGCAAGGGGAAAGAUUUAUCGGUGAUGGAUGUGCCCGCGUUGGAUUAGCUAGUUGGUGGGGUAAUGGCCUACCAAGGCGAUGAUCCAUAGCUGGUCUGAGAGGACGAUCAGCCACGCUGGAACUGAGACACGGUCCAGACUCCUACGGGAGGCAGCAGCUAAGAAUAUUGGGCAAUGGAGGAAACUCUGACCCAGCCCAUGCCGCGUGAAUGAAGAAGGCCUUCGGGUUGUAAAGUUCUUUUAGUCAUGAAGAUGAUGACAGUAGUGACAGAAAAAGCACCGGCUAACUUCGUGCCAGCAGCCGC
rnacentral:rRNA from 1 species